CAUUGAGUUCACAUGCAUGUCAUGGCCCCAGGGACAAUUCCAUCUUUGACCACUAGAGGGCACCCUGAUUGUCUUCUUCUUCUUCUGUUGUCUUCCACCGUUUCGUGUUUUAAUCAUUCCCAUGUGUGUUUCAUUUCCCUGAUUGAUUAGUGCUCCUAUUUAAGUUCCCUGGUUUUUCUUCUCAGUGGCUGGAACGUUGCAUGAAGUUAGGUUAUGGGCUGAGUGCUCACAGUUUGUUAUUGUUCAGUUUAUGCACUGUUUGGUUUUAUUUAGUGUUUUCUUAGGGUUUCUUUCCUAGUUGUACUAAGUUUCUGAUAGCCCUAGUACCUAGUGUGUUUAUUCCUCAGGUUUAUUUUCCUGAGCCUGUACCCUGUGUUCUGUCUUCAAUAAAAGAAAUUGUGCAUUUGUAUCCACCUCCUGGACUCCCUCAUGACUGAAUGCUCCAGCCACUCAUGUAUACAGCAGAACUUCAGUGCUGGUUGGGAGUGGAUUUUGGCUUGUGAGGUGGGGACACCUUAAGAGGUGGUUCACCAACAGGAGGGACUUUUUGGUGCAGUGGGAUAGACUGGACUAGGAGAGGGGUUGAGCUCUAAAUUGGAGGCUCUCUGCUAAACCCCACCCCUGGGGCAGCUGAGGUCAUUGUGUGGCUUUGGUGUUCCCCUGUCGCGUGGCUUCGGCGUUCCUGUUAAGGCCAUUGUUCCCCCUGGCCCCAGGGACAACUCUGUCUUUGGCCACUAGAGGUGGUACUAAAGUUCCCUGGUUUUUCUCCUCAGUUGCUGGAGCACUGCAUCAAGUUGGGUUAUGUUUUUGGUCUGAGUUCCUACCUUUUUGUUAUUGUUCAGAUUAUGCAAUGUUUUUAUUUAGUGUUUUCUUAGGGUUUCUUUCCUGGUUGUACUAAGUUUCUGAUAACCCUGGUACCUUGUGUUUCUUUGUUUUUGUUUUCCUGAGCCUGUGUUCUGUCUUCAGUAAAGUUCUGCAUUUGUAUCCA